rnacentral:rRNA from 1 species
UACGUAGGUGGCAAGCGUUGUCCGGAUUUACUGGGCGUAAAGAGCGCGCAGGCGGUCGUUCAAGUCGCGUGUGAAAGCCCCCGGCUCAACUGGGGAGGGUCACGCGAUACUGAUCGACUCGAAGGCAGGAGAGGGUAGUGGAAUUCUCGGUGUAGCGGUGAAAUGCGUAGAUAUCGAGAGGAACACCUGCGGCGAAGGCGGGUAGCUGGGCCGACACUGACGCUGAUGCGCGAAAGCCAGGGAGCGAACGGG